rnacentral:lncRNA from 1 species
AUGAAUAUAAAGACGAUAAAUCAGAUUUAGGGUUUAAUAGGCAGCAUAAUAUUAAGGAGGAUUUCAUCUUUCUCUAGAAUAGAGAUUAACAAGAAAAUAUAAAUUAAAAGAGGAAUAUAAAACAAAAGGAAAGGAUUUAGGUUUUACCUUAGUUGAGGAGGAAGAGGAGACAGGUUGGUAUCUUGCACUAAGGACAAGGAGG